rnacentral:rRNA from 1 species
AUUGAACGCUGGCGGCAGGCCUAACACAUGCAAGUCGAGCGGAUGAAGGGAGCUUGCUCCUGGAUUCAGCGGCGGACGGGUGAGUAAUGCCUAGGAAUCUGCCUGGUAGUGGGGGAUAACGUCCGGAAACGGGCGCUAAUACCGCAUACGUCCUGAGGGAGAAAGUGGGGGAUCUUCGGACCUCACGCUAUCAGAUGAGCCUAGGUCGGAUUAGCUAGUUGGUGGGGUAAAGGCCUACCAAGGCGACGAUCCGUAACUGGUCUGAGAGGAUGAUCAGUCACACUGGAACUGAGACACGGUCCAGACUCCUACGGGAGGCAGCAGUGGGGAAUAUUGGACAAUGGGCGAAAGCCUGAUCCAGCCAUGCCGCGUGUGUGAAGAAGGUCUUCGGAUUGUAAAGCACUUUAAGUUGGGAGGAAGGGCAGUAAGCUAAUACCUUGCUGUUUUGACGUUACCAACAGAAUAAGCACCGGCUAACUUCG